CUGAAGAUAUGGUUAUCAAAGCAAUUAAAGAAAAUGGAGGGGAAAUACAGAUACGAUAUUAGAGACUCUGUUGACGUAUUCGGCUCUUGAAAAGUCUGCACCCAUGCAACAUGUUGAUU